rnacentral:tRNA from 1 species
GGAGAUGUGGCUCAAGUGGUAGUGCGCUCGCCUUGCAUGCGUGAGGCACUGGGUUUGAUUCUCAGCACCA